rnacentral:lncRNA from 1 species
CUUUUUUUGAACAAGUAUUUAUUCAAUACAUUUGUUGACGAAUUCUUCAAUAAACGUAUUUGAGAGCAAUAAUUUUUCAUACGGUUUACAUAUUUUCUUCUUCAGAAAUUACGCUGUGGAGGUACCAUUUCACAGCCCAUCACGGGUUGUUGGCAUACUAAUGAUUGUGAGUUAACUCGAAUUAGACUGCUACUAAAAAGUAUUUUAGAAUAAUAGAUGCUACAAUUCUUUAGUCAGAUGUCAAGCACUCAUAUAGGAAGAUUGAUGCCGGACUAUGAAGGAAAUCUAGAACGCUUCCUCUAGAUUCUUCAGAUGUGAAUUCCAGGAUCGCAAACAUGGAGUCGAACAAAAAUUCGACUCUCAUGAAUUUAAUGAUAAUUAUUUGCAUCACCGACAUACGUCUCACAGUCGUGGUCUGAGCCACCCAUCCCAAUCCUUCAUCAUUCAUAUGCGAUUCGAUCCCAUCGCCAAUCUGUCAACCAACGAAAAACAAAAUGCUCUCGCUGUUUAAUAUCUUCUAUCUAGGAAGCAGCAUAAAACGAAGAUAAGGAGAGGAAAUAUACUUCUUCCUAUUUAUAUUUAAUUGUAAUAGAAAAUUUGUUAUGUUAAUACAAUUUCAAAUAACGAAAAACUUUUGGAAACGAAUCUAUCAAAGAAUGAUGUAGAUAUUGGCUUCUUUCAAACAAUGGUUGUUAAUACAAUGGAAAUGUAAAUUCAAGGAAAUUGUUUGCGAUAAUUUCAAUAUAUUCAUCAAUGUAUAUUUUCCAUUAUGAAAUAUUUUAUUUCAAAGGUCGAGAAGAUAACAUCCUUAAUACAAGUUUAGAUUGGCCGGAUUGGCCGCGUGGAAAUACUUCGGCAUUCCAUUCUGAAGGACCCGGGUUUGAGAGUCGGGUCCCACCCCUUGAAAAUAUUUAUCAUGGGAUCCGAAUCAGACCCGUCGAUCCCCGUUCUCCACAAUCUGGCUGACCCUUCCGCAGGGGUGGGCAGCCUGUGGAAGAGCUUGUUUCACGCUGCCAGUUAAUUUUUUCCUGAAUGGAAAGUGGCGUCAUCUGUUGACAAAAAAUAAACGUUUAAUAAAUUCUGAAAAAAUUAUUAAACGUGUCUAAACUUUAAUAACGUGUCUAUUUAAAUUUCAGGUUUGUUGCUGUGAUCUGAAUACAGAAAAGGGUAACGAAACGGUUCAAGAACU